rnacentral:rRNA from 1 species
AUUGAACGCUGGCGGCAUGCCUUACACAUGCAAGUCGAACGGCAGCGGGGGAGAAGCUUGCUUUUCCUGCCGGCGAGUGGCGAACGGGUGAGUAAUACAUCGGAACGUGCACUGUAGUGGGGGAUAACUAGUCGAAAGAUUAGCUAAUACCGCAUACGACCUGAGGGUGAAAGUGGGGGACCGCAAGGCCUCAUGCUAUAGGAACGGCCGCUGUCUGAUGAGCUAGUUGGUGGGGUAAAGGCCUACCAAGGCGACGAUCAGUAGGUGGUCUGGGAGGACGAGCAGCCACACUGGGACUGCGACACGGCCAAGCAUCCUACGGGAGGCAGCAGUGGGGAAUUUUGGACAAUGGGCGAAAGCCUGAUCCAGCAAUGCCGCGUGUGUGAAGAAGGCCUUCGGGUUGUAAAGCACUUUUGUCCGGAACGAAAAGCUCUGGGUUAAUACCCUGGGGUCAUGACGGUACCGUAAGAAUAAGCACCGGCUAACUACGUGCCAGCCGCCGCAGUAAGAC